CAGCCGCCGCGGGAAUACAGAGGGUGCGAGCGUUAAUCGGAUUUACUGGGCGUAAAGCGUGCGUAGGCGGCUUCUUAAGUCGGAUGUGAAAUCCCUGAGCUUAACUUAGGAAUUGCAUUCGAUACUGGGAAGCUAGAGUAUGGGAGAGGAUGGUAGAAUUCCAGGUGUAGCGGUGAAAUGCGUAGAGAUCUGGAGGAAUACCGAUGGCGAAGGCAGCCAUCUGGCCUAAUACUGACGCUGAGGUACGAAAGCAUGGGGAGCAAACAGGAUUAGAGACCCCAGUAGUCCCUGUCUCUUAUAC
rnacentral:rRNA from 1 species